UCCUACUCGAUAUUUUUUUCGGUAUUAUAUAUUUGAUUAUUGAGUCCCCAAUAAUAACAAUUUGGCUAUAUAUAGACAGGGUGACCGCAACAGCGUGAGCCAAUUACUGCGGGCCCGAAUUAGGACAUACGUCUUUGAACUUUUUCCAAUAUAUCCUGCAAUGAAAUAGCUGUGUACUGUACCUGGUAUCAUACACAGUAAUGUGUGUAUUUGUAUAGCCCCAGCGAGUUAACGCUCCAUAGAGCGUCUUGUUAGCUAUAAAUGUAUAUGCAAAAAUCAUUGAACAUGGGCUCCAGAAAAUCUUUGCUCGCGCCAAUUACAGAUUGAUACCCGCAAGUUUUUCUUCAGAUUCUGUGAAAAUAAGUAUAAAUCAUUACAGUCAAGUAGUUUUCAGCGUAUUUUUAGGUCCCCUUUAGGAGAUUUCAGCCUUCGAUUUUCGUGUAAUUUUGUAGACCGAACAAAAACCGGUGUGCCGUCAAGUUGCUGUCGUUUUUUCACGAUUUAUUCAAAUCCUCGUAUUUUUUGCAACAGGGAACGUGGAUUGUGUCUUAACUUGCUGUUGAAACUUGGAAACAAACUUUACCGAAAUUCAACCUUCGAAUUUGCUUGAAAAUAGCUCUGCACGGGUAAAAUGAGUUUCGGCGUCUAGCGAAGCCGUAAAAAACAUUUUUCAAAAAAAAAAUUUAUUUUGGACACUUGUAUAUCAAUGCCUUUCAACACACAAAAAUUGAAGGAAAUCUAUUUUUCAAAGUCGAAGUCACCGGACCGCUCUUAAAGGCGG